UACGUAGGUGGCAAGCGUUGUCCGGAUUUAUUGGGUUUAAAGGGUGCGUAGGCGGUUUUCUAAGUCAGCAGUGAAAUCCUGGAGCUCAACUCCAGAACUGCCUUUGAUACUGAGAAGCUUGAGUUCGGGAGAGGUGAGUGGAACUGCGAGUGUAGAGGUGAAAUUCGUAGAUAUUCGCAAGAACACCAGUGGCGAAGGCGGCUCACUGGCCCGAUACUGACGCUGAGGUGCGAAAGCGUGGGGAGCAAACAGG
rnacentral:rRNA from 1 species